rnacentral:tRNA from 1 species
GGUGUAGUGGCUGAGUGGUAAAGUGCUUGGCUUCCAAACUUGGGGGUUCUGGGUUCAAAUCUCAGUGAAACUU